CAAAGGUCCCCAGACGCUGUCCAAAGAAGACAACGCAGCGGUCCCCCGACGCUGCCCAAUAGAAGGGGACCCAGGGGUCCCCCGAUGCUGUUCAAGAGAAGGUGAUCCAGAGCUUCCCCAAUGCUACCCAGAGCCCAGUUCCCAGGGAAUGACUGCAUUUUGAUGCCUUGGAGUGCAAACCAGGCAAGUUGCAAAUGAAAACCCCUCUCUGGAGCCCUAUUCUAGGUCCUGCUUCUGCAGCAGAAGCUGGGGAAAGUAAAGGGUGGUGUGGGUGGUU